rnacentral:rRNA from 1 species
GACGAACGCUGGCGGCGUGCUUAACACAUGCAAGUCGAACGGAAAGGCCCUGCUUUUGUGGGGUGCUCGAGUGGCGAACGGGUGAGUAACACGUGAGUAACCUGCCCUUGACUUUGGGAUAACUUCAGGAAACUGGGGCUAAUACCGGAUAGGAGCUCCUGCUGCAUGGUGGGGGUUGGAAAGUUUCGGCGGUUGGGGAUGGACUCGCGGCUUAUCAGCUUGUUGGUGGGGUAGUGGCUUACCAAGGCUUUGACGGGUAGCCGGCCUGAGAGGGUGACCGGCCACAUUGGGACUGAGAUACGGCCCAGACUCCUACGGGAGGCAGCAGUGGGGAAUAUUGCACAAUGGGCGGAAGCCUGAUGCAGCAACGCCGCGUGCGGGAUGACGGCCUUCGGGUUGUAAACCGCUUUCGCCUGUGACGAAGCGUGAGUGACGGUAAUGGGUAAAGAAGCACCGGCUAACUACGUGCCAGCAGCCGCGGUGAUACGUAGGGUGCGAGCGUUGUCCGGAUUUAUUGGGCGUAAAGGGCUCGUAGGUGGUUGAUCGCGUCGGAAGUGUAAUCUUGGGGCUUAACCCUGAGCGUGCUUUCGAUACGGGUUGACUUGAGGAAGGUAGGGGAGAAUGGAAUUCCUGGUGGAGCGGUGGAAUGCGCAGAUAUCAGGAGGAACACCAGUGGCGAAGGCGGUUCUCUGGGCCUUUCCUGACGCUGAGGAGCGAAAGCGUGGGGAGCGAACAGGCUUAGAUACCCUGGUAGUCCACGCUGUAAACGGUGGGUACUAGGUGUGGGGUCCAUUCCACGGGUUCCGUGCCGUAGCUAACGCUUUAAGUACCCCGCCUGGGGAGUACGGCCGCAAGGCUAAAACUCAAAGGAAUUGACGGGGCCCCGCACAAGCGGCGGAGCAUGCGGAUUAAUUCGAUGCAACGCGUAGAACCUUACCUGGGUUUGACAUGGAUCGGGAGCGCUCAGAGAUGGGUGUGCCUCUUUUGGGGUCGGUUCACAGGUGGUGCAUGGCUGUCGUCAGCUCGUGUCGUGAGAUGUUGGGUUAAGUCCCGCAACGAGCGCAACCCUUGUUCACUGUUGCCAGCACGUUAUGGUGGGGACUCAGUGGAGACCGCCGGGGUCAACUCGGAGGAAGGUGGGGAUGACGUCAAGUCAUCAUGCCCCUUAUGUCCAGGGCUUCACGCAUGCUACAAUGGCUGGUACAGAGAGUGGCGAGCCUGUGAGGGUGAGCGAAUCUCGGAAAGCCGGUCUCAGUUCGGAUUGGGGUCUGCAACUCGACCUCAUGAAGUCGGAGUCGCUAGUAAUCGCAGAUCAGCAACGCUGCGGUGAAUACGUUCCCGGGGCUUGUACACACCGCCCGUCAAGUCAUGAAAGUUGGUAACACCCGAAGCCGGUGGCCUAACCGUUGUGGGGGAGCCGUCGAAGGUGGGAC